rnacentral:lncRNA from 10 species
GCAAGGUUUGCUGACAAACUCAAGUUUUGACCACUGGGAUGGGCAAUUCCCCUCUGGCUAGAGGUCUUCUAAAUGCUCCCCGCAUAGGGGUCAAGGAGUUCAGCCUGAUUUUGCUUCCCUCUGUGACAGAGCAGCACUGAAUUCAAUGCCAAGUCCCCCAGUCACUGUGCUCUCCUUCCAGCAAGUGCACAGAUUCUCUGUCUGUGCCAUGCGCCCACUGCCAAAGAUGGAGGAGGGGUGGCAUCAGUGAUUCAAGACUUUCUUUUUUAGCCUCUUCAGAGCCUCUUUCAGUGAUAUGAAGUUAAAGCCAGUUUCUGGUGACCACAAAGGGACGGCUGGACACCUCACUCAUUUCAGAUCCUGCUGAUGGGAUCCAGGGAAACUGACAAAA